GAUGAACGCUGGCGGCGUGCUUAACACAUGCAAGUCGAACGAAGUGGCGAACGGGUGUGUAAUACGUGGGUAACCUGCCCUCCUUUUUGGGAUAAGCCUCGGAAACGGGGUCUACUACCGACUAAAGGGUGAUGGGCUCGCGGCUUAGCAGCUUGUUGGUGGGGGGAUGAGCUACCACGGCGGUGACGGGUAGCCGGACUGAGAGGGUGAACGGCAACAUUGGGACUGAGAAGAGGCCCAGAGUCCUACGGGGGGCAGCAGAGGGGGAUAUUGGACAAUGGGCGAAGGCCUGAUGCAGCGACGACGCGUGGGGGAUGAAGGCUGUCGGGUAGUAAACCUGUUUCGGUAGCGAACGGGUAGGUGGAGAAGAAGCGCCGGCUAACUACGUGCCAGCAGCCGCGGUAAUAC
rnacentral:rRNA from 1 species